rnacentral:rRNA from 1 species
GAUUAUUUCAUGCGGUCCUGAUAAAUUAUUCAAUUAAUUAAAACUUUCAACAACGGAUCUCUUGGUUCUGGCAUCGAUGAAGAACGCAGCGAAAUGCGAUAAGUAAUGUGAAUUGCAGAUUUCAGUGAAUCAUCGAAUCUUUGAACGCACAUUGCGCC